UCCUUGUUGGCCAUGAGCGGGCUGUCCGAGGCACUCGUCUCCCGCUCCCGCUGGUGACUGUCGACCAGGUGACAGG
ensembl:miRNA gmo-mir-11190 gmo-mir-11190